ACUCUUUUAGCUCAGUUGGUUAGAGCAUUUGGUUUACAUCCAAAAGGUCACUGGUUCGAAUCCAGUAAAGAGUA
rnacentral:tRNA from 1 species